GGGGCUCCCGGCCAGGCCCAGCUCCGCGGGAGCGCCCGUCACCCUCUCCCAGACCAGCUCUGGGCAGCGCCGGGGGGCGCAGGCACAGGCUAGGGGCCUCCUCCUGCCUUUGCGUCCGGCUGUCCGUUGAUCUGUCCGAGGCCCUGGCGGCAGUUUAUGAUUCUUCAUCAACGCGUAAAAUGCGAUCGUCGGAGCCCCGAGACUGUUUUGCGUCCCUGGAACCUAGCAGGAGCUUAUCAAAGACACCGCCGCCCCGGGGACAAUCCCUGGUGUCAGGCAAGACUGCCCCGCCAGCUCGAACCCCGGGACCCAGCUCAGGAGGCAGCCAGCCGCUUGCCAGACCCGGGGCCGUGAACGCCGGAGCCGAGCGGAAGAUUUCCGUGGGUCUGCGAUCCGCGCCUCGGCUCGCAGGGAGGUGGCUACUCUGGGCGCUCGGGAAAGCAGGGUUGUUGCUAAUGCGGGUGCUGCGUUUUGAUCGCACUGAGAAGCUGUCACUUUCCUUACAUGAGAACAAGACUUCAGGAAGGACUGGCAAUGGGCAGCAGAGAAACUGAAUGUUCCAACAGCCUUUUUCAAGUAGCCUGAGAUUCCCCGAGAAAGCAUGGGUCCUAACGGCUCAAGAUGCGUUCUCCGGGGAGCUGGAGGCUCAGGGAUCCAAGGCCAGGUUCUAGUGGGCCUCACCCACCGGCCUCGGCUCUCAGCUGCCCCUGCCCGGUCUUCCCCUCCCCUCCGUGCCCUUUGUUUAAACUUCCCUCAUCCAAGGUGGCCCCUCUGGGACCAUAAGUUUGCCCUCUCUUUGUAACCUAAUUCUUCUCGCCUUUUCCUAUGGGCAUCUAAUUGGCCAGCGGUGGAGGGGAGAUUCAAAGAAAUCAGUUUGCUUAAGGACUGCCUUCCAUAGGGAUAUUUAAUUGGCAACCCAGCGACCUUCGAGCCCCACACUGGGGAUGUGCCUUGAGGGGUACUGAGGAGGAAGAGGGGGCCUGCUUUAGCCAGAGGGGUUCAGAAGUCCCCAUAGGGUAAGGCCUCAAAUCUGCUCAGGCCUGCAGCCAUCCCCCCACCCAGGGGUUCUGCAAUGGAGGGACCAGGACUCCAACAGCCCCUUCUGCUCGCUGGGGUUCAUUUUCAGCCCCCCAAAUGUGAAGGCUUCUUCUCCUCUCUGGCCUCCAUGAUGGCUUUCCCACCCUUUACGUCUUUAGGGCCGUUUCGAAUCGUAAAACCCGGGCUGAGAAGUCUCAGCGCCCUGGGCUGAGGUGCCUGCGAGAUCAUGUAUCUCCUUAUCAGGUUCUAACCACCCACCUCCAAGCCGUACAGCCUCCCCCAUAGGCCCUGCUGAGACCUGCAGACAAUCGGUCAGCGUUUCUCCUUCCUUCAAGCACAGGCACGGUUUACUCAGAGAGCCUGGCGGUCCUGCGGCCCGGCAGCAUGACAACUGGUAAAUCCGUUUCGUUAGACGCAAUUUGUUUGCAAUUUGUCGACCCGGCUGGGAAACUCUCUCCAGACGCCUGGGUAGCCGCAACGGCCCUACCUGCUUCUCAAAU